UACGAAGGGGGCUAGCGUUGUUCGGAAUUACUGGGCGUAAAGGGCGCGUAGGCGGUACUUCAAGUCAGGCGUGAAAGCCCCGGCUCAACCUGGGAACCGCGCUUGAGACUGGAGAACUAGAGUUCGGGAGAGGAUGGUGGAAUUCCCAGUGUAGAGGUGAAAUUCGUAGAUAUUGGGAAGAACACCGAUGGCGAAGGCAGCCAUCUGGACCGACACUGACGCUGAGCGCGAAAGCGUGGGGAGCAA
rnacentral:rRNA from 1 species